rfam:Astyanax mexicanus chromosome 11, whole genome shotgun sequence.
AGGAAAUUUUGCUCUUUUAGUAUUUGUCCAGAAGGUUUCUCCGCUUGGAGAAGCCCAC